UGACAGAUUGCAUGCUGGGAAAAGCCUCAAGUCUGCAUAGAAAGCGCAUUUAAUCCUUUUUUAACUGGGUGAGGUUGCCUCUUGGGACCCCCAGUUGAUAGAUGAGAAGCACCUGACUUUGAAAAGGAACCGAACUCAAGCAGGCUGCAUCCUAAGCCCGUCUCAAGCAGACUGCAGAAGCCUUUUCCCCUUAACCUUAAAAUAGACUCCACAUCCCUCCCUCUCCGACUGUAAACCCUUUCCACAUUAUCUAACUGUGUGCUUACUUAGAAGUUACAGGGGUUAACCUUGAGACAGAUCAAACCUGGAGACCCAGCUGCAAAAUUUCAAAUAUCACCUUAAAGCCGUUCGUCCACAACCUGGUCAUUGUUGUGGUUAUGCCAGUCCACGCUCCAGGAGGACUGUGACCCGAGAUAGCCACUGAAAAAAGAGACACAGAUGUCACACCCCCAUCACUCGCUUACCAUUACAAUGUGAAAUGCCUCCCAUAUCAAGCUUUCCUUCUUAAACCCCUGCCCUCAGCCAACCUUCAAAGCAGUUUCUCUAGGUGUAAACCUGGCCACUUCCCCCUGUGGCUAUGGAAAUAAAGUGGCUUUCCAUUCACUGCACUUGCUGAGUUUGCACACGGUAAGCAGCCCAGCCUGCACUGGGUCACAACUUCUCAAUUGCCUCCUUCUGCGAGAGAGAGUGAGGUGCUCGGCCUCCACAAAAGGCCUCAGAGUAAACAGCAUCAAAUCUCCCCCUUGGGCAGCCUUCCCCUAUUCUCAACCUCUUCAGCACCCUGCCUGCACGGAUCACAAUGGUUCUCACUACAGAUGGAGCAUCCCACUCACUGAGGAAGUACCUGCUCAGGAGGGUGUGAUGACUGGGGACAUGAAACCGGAAGCCAAGGAACACCCACCACACCCCUCCCCAUGCUCCGUGCAGGAUGUCCUGUGUUCACGCCAGGGCAGGCACAAGGAAAGUCAGCACGGCCCCAUGUUCCCAGCAGCUCAGUCUCACCUGUGAGUGGCAGGAGUGCGAGGUGUGAGUUGGAUGAGGGCUUUGGACCCCAGCGCUAAGGUGGGCUACGUGGAGCUCCCAGGAUGCUGGGGUCACAGGCCCCAGUGAGCCUGCUGAAAUUGUAGCAGAGACUGUAAUAUUUUAUCUAGACUACAAGACAUAAAUUUGCUGUGUGUUCUUGCACUACCAACUUUAAUAAUAAUGUCUUUGCAUGCCAUCUAUUCUCUCAUGGGCAAUAACACAGAUACAAACGGUCCUGAGUGCUCAGCGCUGCUGGGUUUUGGGGUCUGCUUUAGGGGAAACAUUUCCAAAACCUGCCAUCCGGUGCGUUUGCUCUUCUGAAAAACGUCCCCAGAACCAGCGGCCGCCUGGCCUCUGGGGCGCCCCGCAGGUCGUGUGAAUACACAUGUGGAGUGACUGAAACGGAUGCUUAUGGCUACUUUCCCACCCUGGAGGAGACUCUGCCAUCUGGGUUUGGGCUAAAGUCGAGGUAGUGUGUGAAUCUGAUUUCCCCCUUUAUGUAAUGAGCUGUUUUCCUGAUCUGUGGACCUGUUAUGUCAUGGCUUUGAUGAACAAGAAUAAAAAAGAUUUGCCAAGUUGUUUCUCAUUAAACCUAAACCAACUCUUCAGCCGCGCCGCCUCGGGGACCGUAAGCCCCGCUCUGGUGGACGCCUGGAGUCGCCGCCUCCCGAGAGUCCACACCCCAUCUUGUCUCCAGCCUGCGCUGGGAAGAAGCUGAGGUCUGGAGGUCUUCCUCUGAAGGAGCACAGUCCAGGGAGCCACAGAAGGCUGCCUUGAGGAGUGGAACUGCUUCAGGGAUCAAUGCAAAGUGUCCCCUGUCAGGAGAAAAACCACUCAGAGGAGGUAAAGGCCCAUGAGCCAUUCCUGAGCUGCUAGAACAAAUUUCCUAAGAUGGUUGAAUAGCAGGAAACAGAGACAAAAACAAAAAACAGAAAACACCAGAGGCAGGUUACACAAGAAAGCUCUCCUUAAGCAGGGAACACAGAAAAUAAACAUAAUUAGCACUACAUUCCUGGAGACAUAUCGUGAUUACACAGACAUCAAACUCAACUGGGCUUCUUGUGUGGGAUGCGC
rnacentral:lncRNA from 1 species